rnacentral:lncRNA from 1 species
UUAGUUCCAAAUCAAAGUGUGUCUGCACCUUGAGACACAUAUGUCAUUGGCUCCGGAGAAUUUACAUUUUAAGCAGUAAACUUACAUUUUGCAUUCUUGGAUGAAAUCCAAAUUAUUCGCAAUAAACACUCUGUAUUACAAGUAUUAAAGUCUUGUAACGGAAAAAAAAAACUAAAAAAUGUUCCAAGUCAUGAAGAGAAGAAUGUGGAAGGCUAGCUGACCAACAAAUUCUUAACGUUCCAGUCAACUCCUAAACUUCUGAAAGACAAUAACAGUCAAAAAUAGAUCACAGACUAAAAAUGAAUGGCCAUCAGUAAACAAACAUUUAUUUUCAUGUUAUACCGUUAGAAAGUA